AAGGAAGCUUGCUUUCAUUUUAAACUUAGCGGCGGACGGGUGAGUAACGCGUGAGGAACCUGCCCUUCAGUGGGGAACAACAACUGGAAACGGUUGCUAAUACCGCAUAAUGUCGGAUUGCCGCAUGACAGACCGACCAAAGGAUUUAUUCGCUGAAGGAUGGCCUCGCGUCCGAUCAGGUAGUUGGUGAGGUAACGGCCCACCAAGCCUACGAUCGGUAGCCGAACUGAGAGGUUGAUCGGCCACAUUGGGACUGAGACACGGCCCAGACUCCUACGGGAGGCAGCAGUGGGGAAUAUUGGGCAAUGGGCGAAAGCCUGACCCAGCAACGCCGCGUGAAGGAUGACGGUCUUCGGAUUGUAAACUUCUUUAAUUGGGGAAGAACAAAAUGACCUACCCAAAGAAUAAGUCACGGCUAACUACGUGCCAGCAGCCGCGGUAAUACGUAGGUGACAAGCGUUAUCCGGAUUUACUGGGCGUAAAGGGCGUGUAGGCGGUCUUGCAAGUCAGAAGUGAAAUUCCUGGGCUCAACUCGGGCGCUGCUUCUGAAACUGCAGGACUUGAGUGCUGGAGGGGAUAGCGGAAUUCCUAGUGGAGCGGUAAAAUGCGCAGAUAUUAGGAAGAACACCGGUGGCGAAGGCGGCUAUCUGGACAGUAACUGACGCUGA
rnacentral:rRNA from 1 species